AGCAUGGGUUGAUGCGCUACUGACCUCUUGCAGGGGGUCGCGUGAAGACAUGGAAGCGGCGCUGGUUCAUCCUGACUGACAGCUGCCUCUACUACUUCGAGUUCACCACGGACAAGGAGCCACGGGGAAUCAUACCCCUGGAGAACCUCUCAGUGCAGAAGGUGGAUGACCCCAAGAAGCCAUUUUGCCUGGAGCUCUACAACCCCAGCUGCAGGGGCCAGAAGAUAAAGGCCUGCAAGACAGACG